rnacentral:rRNA from 1 species
UGGCGGACGGGUGAGAAACGCGUGGGUAACCUGCCUCAUACAGGGGGAUAACAGUUAGAAAUGGCUGCUAAUACCGCAUAAGCGCACAGUGUCACAUGACACAAUGUGAAAAACUCCGGUGGUAUGAGAUGGACCCGCGUCUGAUUAGCUAGUUGGUAAGGUAACGGCCUACCAAGGCAACGAUCAGUAGCCGACCUGAGAGGGUGAUCGGCCACAUUGGGACUGAGACACGGUCCAAACUCCUACGGGAGGCAGCAGUGGGGAAUAUUGCACAAUGGGCGAAAGCCUGAUGCAGCAACGCCGCGUGAAGGAUGAAGGCCUUUGGGUCGUAAACUUCUGUCCUUGGGGAAGAAAAAAAUGACGGUACCCCUGGAGGAAGUCCCGGCUAACUACGUGCCAGCAGCCGCGGUAAUA